GAUGAACGCUGGCGGCGUGCCUAAUACAUGCAAGUCGAGCGAACAGACGAGAGUGCUUGCACUCUCUGACGUUAGCGGCGGACGGGUGAGUAACACGUGGGUAACCUACCUAUAAGACUGGGAUAACUUCGGGAAACCGGAGCUAAUACCGGAUAAUAUUUAGCUUCGCAUGAAGCAAUAGUGAAAGACGGUUCUGCUGUCACUUAUAGAUGGACCCGCGGUGUAUUAGCUAGUUGGUGAGGUAACGGCUCACCAAGGCAACGAUACAUAGCCGACCUGAGAGGGUGAUCGGCCACACUGGGACUGAGACACGGCCCAGACUCCUACGGGAGGCAGCAGUAGGGAAUCUUCCGCAAUGGACGAAAGUCUGACGGAGCAAUGCCGCGUGAGUGAAGAAGGUUUUCGGAUCGUAAAACGCUGUUGUAAGGGAAGAACAAGUACGUUAGUAACUGAACGUACCUUGACAGUACCUUACCAGAAAGCCACGGCUAACUACGU
rnacentral:rRNA from 1 species